CCUUUGACGUUAGUGGCGAACGGGCGAGUAACACGUGAGUAACCUGUCCUUUUCUUUGGGAUAACGGCUGGAAACGGCUGCUAAUACUGGAUAUUCAGGCUGCAUCGCAUGGUGUGGUUUGGAAAGGUUUUUUCUGGAAUGGGGUGGACCCGCGCCGUAUUAGCUAGUUGGUAAGGUAACGGCUUACCAAGGCGACGAUACGUAGCCGACCUGAGAGGGUGAUCGGCCACACUGGAACUGAGACACGGUCCAGACUCCUACGGGAGGCAGCAGGC
rnacentral:rRNA from 1 species